rnacentral:rRNA from 1 species
ACGUACACUCCUACGGGAGGCAGCAGUGGGGAAUAUUGCACAAUGGGCGCAAGCCUGAUGCAGCCAUGCCGCGUGUGUGAAGAAGGCCUUCGGGUUGUAAAGCACUUUCAGCGGGGAGGAAGGCAAUGCGGUUAAUAACCGUGUUGAUUGACGUUACCCGCAGAAGAAGCACCGGCUAACUCCGUGCCAGCAGCCGCGGUAAUACGGAGGGUGCAAGCGUUAAUCGGAAUUACUGGGCGUAAAGCGCACGCAGGCGGUCUGUCAAGUCGGAUGUGAAAUCCCCGGGCUCAACCUGGGAACUGCAUUCGAAACUGGCAGGCUUGAGUCUUGUAGAGGGGGGUAGAAUUCCAGGUGUAGCGGUGAAAUGCGUAGAGAUCUGGAGGAAUACCGGUGGCGAAGGCGGCCCCCUGGACAAAGACUGACGCUCAGGUGCGAAAGCGUGGGGAGCAAACAGGAUUAGAUACCCGGGUAGUCCCAUG